rnacentral:rRNA from 1 species
UACGGAGGGGGCUAGCGUUGUUCGGAAUCACUGGGCGUAAAGCGCGCGUAGGUGGUUGGGAAAGUUGAGAGUGAAAGCCCGGGGCUUAACCCCGGAAUUGCUCCCAAAACUUCUCGACUAGAGACUUGGAGAGGUAAGCGGAAUUCCGAGUGUAGAGGUGAAAUUCGUAGAUAUUCGGAAGAACACCGGUUGCGAAGGCGGCUUACUGGCCAAGUUCUGACACUGAGGUGCGAAAGCGUGGGGAGCAAACAGG